rnacentral:rRNA from 1 species
AUUGAACGCUGGCGGCAGGCCUAACACAUGCAAGUCGAGCGGCAGCACGGGGAGCUUGCUCCCUGGUGGCGAGCGGCGGACGGGUGAGUAAUGCAUAGGAAUCUGCCCGGUAGUGGGGGAUAACCUGGGGAAACCCAGGCUAAUACCGCAUACGUCCUACGGGAGAAAGCAGGGGACCUUCGGGCCUUGCGCUAUCGGAUGAGCCUAUGUCGGAUUAGCUGGUUGGUGAGGUAAAGGCCUACCAAGGCGACGAUCCAUAGCUGGUCUGAGAGGAUGAUCAGCCACACCGGGACUGAGACACGGCCCAG